CUGACCCACGCCCCGCCCACGCCCCUGCCCAUUGGCUUCCCCGAGAGCCUCUGGCAGAAUUUUUCGUGCUAUUGGCUAGGGGACAUGCCACUCACACGCGACUCCACCUCUUCUACCGGCGCUGGAAAGGGGUUUCCUCCCGCUGAGCGGCGGGCGCAGCCACCAAGCGGCCCCGGCGGGAAACUUGGAUCGGCUAGGAAACGUUCCGGCAGGGUUUGGUUUCCAGAGCUGUCCAGGGGCGCCAGGUGCUGAAUCCCGCUUGGAAGGAGGCUUGGGAGUGGACGGGAAGAGAUUUCCCACGCGAGACGGCUCCUCUGUCAUUGUCCCCGAUGCUCAGACCCUUCCCGACGGCUGAAGAAGCAGAUUCAUCCCUUCAGCAAAUCUCUGUGGACGGGCAGGAGGGUAAUUCUGGUUAAAAAAUGAGAAUGUGUACACAAGGGACGCCCCCAGCAACGGUGACGGGAUGAAGAGGCCACGUUGGAGCAGAAUGGACACACCUCGGGAGGCCUGGAGCUACUCGGCCCAGGAGUCGGCAUCUGCUGCGGACGGACAGGACGGACACGGAACCCCGGGAUGGAAACCAAGCCAGCCACGGGCCCCUGGAACCCACGGGGGACUCCAAGUGCAUUUUUUUUUUUUUUUGAGACGAAGUUUUGCUCUUGUUACCCAGGCUGGAGUGCAAUGGCGCGAUCUCGGCUCACCGCAACCUCAGCCUCCUGGGUUCAGGCAAUUCUCCUGCCUCAGCCUCCCGAGUAGCUGGGAUUACAGGCACGCGCCACCGUGCCCAGCUAAUUUUUUGUAUUUUUAGCAGAGACGGGGUUUCACCAUGUUGACCAGGAUGGUCUCGAUCUCUUGACCUCGUGAUCCACCCGCCUCGGCCUCCCAAAGUGCUGGGAUUACAGGCGUGAGCCACUGUGCCUGGCCAUUUUUAAACAACGCUAAGCGCAAUGGCUGCUCACAGUGAGAAAGGGACAAAAAUAUCCCUCACAAGGGCCGGGCGCGGUGGCUCAAAAAACGUAGGCAGAACGCUCAGACGUGCAGUCAAAGGCAGGUGCCCGGAUUGUCCUUUCCACCACCCAAAAACCUGGUUCCAUCCCCCAGGUGGCAGCUCUGACGCUGCAGAAACAAAAAGCUUCCGCGGGGGGGACGCCAGACACCAGCCCUUCCAGUGGGGGGCCCAGACCCCUAGACACCAGCCCUCCCAGGAAGCCGUGGCUUCCCCCUCAUCUCCACCCAGCCCCGAUCCACAGAUGGGAAACAGGACGGGGGAGAAGGAGGUGGCGGCCACCUGGAAAGGAGUCCAAUGCCCAGAGAUGCCCCCACCUGCCUCAGCGGUUCAGGGCAAGCUUCUGAGCCGGACGUGCUCAGGACUCACUGUCGAGUGCCCAGGGGGGCUCUACAGUCCCCGGGCAGCACUCCUGCUGGCUGCCCUCCCCUCGGGGCACUCCCUCGGUGUCACUCCUGCUGGCCGCUCCCCAUCCUGGGCCCUGCACUCACCGGCGU